GGUCCUGUACGGGCCGCGCGCCGGGGGAGCAC
rnacentral:misc_RNA from 1 species